rnacentral:rRNA from 1 species
UACGUAGGUGGCAAGCGUUGUCCGGAAUUACUGGGCGUAAAGAGCUCGUAGGUGGUUUGUCGCGUUGUUCGUGAAAACUCACAGCUUAACUGUGGGCGUGCGGGCGAUACGGGCAGACUGGAGUACUGCAGGGGAGACUGGAAUUCCUGGUGUAGCGGUGGAAUGCGCAGAUAUCAGGAGGAACACCGGUGGCGAAGGCGGGUCUCUGGGCAGUAACUGACGCUGAGGAGCGAAAGCGUGGGGAGCGAACAGG